AAAAGAUAUUUCUAAUAGAAAGAUAUAGAAAAAGGAAGAAAAGUAAACGCCAUCAUCUUUUCUAUCUUCUCUCUCACGUCUUCCACUCUCCAUUUCCACCAAAUUUUCUUUUCUUUCAUUUUAGUCCAUUUUCCUCCAUUUUCAACCCUUUCAAGUUUUAAACUUCUAAUUUUCUUCAUAAAUUUUUAGUGAAAUCAAGAGAACAACUUCUUGACCAGCUAAGUUUUAUGUGAAGUUAGCUAAAGUUCAUAGUUGAGGAAAGAGAAAAGAAGAGCUAGGGAUUUUGAGUAAGGUUAAGGUAAGAAUGACAAUGUAUUCUUGUAGGUUUUCAUAUUUAUCUCAUCAAAAUGCAUGGAAAUAUUAUGUGAUUUUUUUUAAAUAUUAAAUGCUGUAUAUAUGUUGUGUUAAUGAAGAGAAUGUCAAGAGGAGUGAACAUCAAGUUGAUAAAGGCAAAGAAAUAGCAAAGGAUUGAAGGAAGAAUGAAGGAUUUCAUUUCAAUCAAUUUUGUUAUAAGUAUAUCAAGAAUUUUACUUUACCUAAUUUAAACCCUAAAUGAAAAUAUGAUAAAUUGGUUUAGUAACAUUCAUAAGAUAUGUUUGUAGUUGAAAAUGAUGAUAUGUAUUUUGGAAAUUAUUUGAAAGUAAAAGGGUAUUCCUAUAAUGAAUUGAAAAGUGCAUGUGUAGUGAAAUUAGAGAAAAUGACUAAAUUGCAAAUAGUGUAAAAUUUAGAUAGGUGAAAUAGAUAUUGGGAGUAAUUAAGUGAAAUGUUGAAUGUUGACAAAAUAGAUGUCAAGUGAAAUUUGAUGAAUGGUUGAUUCUAUAUAAAAUUUUAAUUGUUUUCUUUGUUGAGAAAAUGUAAAUAAAUUGUAUAGUUUAAAUGUCCAAGUAGACAAUAAGAACUAGUAGGAUAUAAAUGGUAUGUCAUUAGGAAAAUUUCCAUGCAUGCAAGUGAUAGUGGCACUACGGUGCAAGUGAUAGCGGCACUACAGUGCAAGUGUUGUGGCACUUCGGUGCAAAAUGACAUUUGCACAUCCAUGCAAAUAAUAGUGACACUUUCGUGCAAAUUAUUGACAUUUGCACAUAUUCUACAUGUUCUAUUAAGUUUACAUUUGGGCAAUAAAAUUACAAGGCAAGUGAACUUAAAAAUGUCAUUGGUAAGCAACUUGUAACUUGUUGAAUUGGUACCUUACUAUAGUUAUUUUUGAAACAAUUUUGUUUAUGAUGAUAGUGAUUCAUGAAAGUUAUAUAUAUGUUUAUAUAUGUGUAUGUGUAAUGAAUUGAUUUUAAAUGCAAAGUUUAAUUCUUGAUAUGAUUACUAAGCUCUUGUGAGCUUAAUGCCUUUUUUUCAAACAAAUAGGUGAAGAUCGUUUUGAAGUUUUAGAAUGAAGAUCGUCUCCAACUUAUCUCAUCACAAAUCAAACUUGGAAGAUAUAGUAUGAAUCUAAAAUUUUGGGCAUUAGUUUUUGGCAUGUACAUAGGAAUAUAAUAGAAAUGUUCAUGGAUGAAUUCAAUGAAAGCUUUGGUGCUUUUGGUCCACUUUAUAAAUCUUGAAAUUGGGAUUUGUAUGUUUUGGAAUUGAGUUGAAUUAGGUGCUAUUUAAGGUUGAAAAUUGGCAUGCUCAAAUGAUUUGUUGGUUGAUAUAGAUGUUGUAUGCCAUAUAGAUGUUGUUCUAAGCGAUAGGGGGAAUUAAUUUGCUUAAGUUUUAAGGUGGCAGGAUUGAGGUCAUGACUUUGUACCACCGUGAGGUCAAGACGUGGAAUCUAUGAAGUCGCAAUGAGCACUUAAAAGUUUUGACUUUACAAUUUGGUCCCUAAACAACAUUCGAUCAUUUUGGGAGCUUUUAUAAGCUCAUUUUAAGCUCGGAUAAGUGCUUGAAUCAUAUUUUAAGCUUAACAACUUGAAAAAUAAUUAAAUUGAUUUGAAGUGAUCGUAGUUGCUUCGUCAACAAAUGUGACAUCCUGGUACCUUGGCUCGACAAUCGAGUCGAGUAAGGGGAGUUACAUUCUUUCCAUUCUUCUUUCGGGGUUUCAAUUUUUUUAGAUAAAGGGAGAGGGAAGGUUUUGUUUAUUAGUUUCGAUUACUAGGGGAAACCGUGGGAAUCAAGGGAAUAUGAAAAAAGAAAGUAGGAAGAGUUGAAAGAGG
rnacentral:lncRNA from 1 species